GAAAUGCGAUAAGUAGUGUGAAUUGCAGAAUUCAGUGAAUCAUCGAAUCUUUGAACGCACAUUGCGCCCCUUGGUAUUCCAUGGGGCAUGCCUGCUCGAGCGUCAUUUGUACCCUCAAGCUCUGCUUGGUGUUGGGUGUUUGUCCCGUCUCCGCGCGUGGACUCGCCCCAAAGUGAUUGGCAGCCGGCGUACUGGUCCCGGAGCGCAGCACAUGUCGCGCAAACGAGUGCCUUGGUACGGCGGCGUCCAUAAGCCCCUCUCUCACGCUCUUGACCUCGGAUCAGGUAGGGAUACCCGCUGAACUUAAGC
rnacentral:misc_RNA from 1 species